CCUCCCGACCCAGGGUGGUCCUGGGAUACACAUAGGGGUGGAGGGAAGUGACUGCUGCUGUUGGAUCUCAGAAUACAAAAGCUAAUACUAUUACCUAAUGUUCUUUUUAGUGUCUCUAAUGGGCCUAGGGGAUGCCAAAUUCCAGGGGCCAGAAAGAACUUGGGAUAAAAUGAAACUUCAAGGGGACGGCUUUGACCUGGGCUGAGUCUACCUGUGCCAUCCAACUGGAGUCUCAAGUCCUGAGGCAGGACGUCCAGAUGCCCCAGUGCAGGGCCCUCCUGAUCAACACCUGCUCCCCUCUACUCAUUAGCAACCUCACCCACCCUACUCUCAAAGCACACUUGGCUCUCGUAUCCAGGAGCUCUGCAUCUGUAGAUUCAGCAACAGCAGAUGGAAAAUAUUCAGAAAAUAAAUUGGACGGUUAUGUUUGUAUUGAA